CUUUUUCCUGAGCUGGUUGGGCAAGUGAGAGUGUCAGGAGAGGAAACAAAAAACUUAUUUCAUCUCUUUUUUUUCCACUGAAACAAUUACUCAAAGUCUCAGAUCCUCUUUAGAUAAAAUGCUGAUGUGCAGAGACCAGAUGCCAACCCAAGUUUCAGAAGCCGGCGUAAUAAACCUGAAGUCUCCAGCUCUCUGAGUGCGGUGCUUGGUUUCUUGAGCACUGGUUUCUGAAACAUUUCUGGAAGCCCCAGCGAGAUUCCAACCAUGCUGGCCCCUUGAGCCACAGGACUGGUGGCUCAGCAGAGGAGCCCCAAGAUGAACGAGGAGGCACACCACCUGACGGUAUUCUGGGUUCUCUUUUGGAUCGGCAUUCUGACUCUCCGGAGGACUAAGCCCCGACCAGACUCACUGGAGGACCCAACCAACUCACCAGGAUUGGCCACAGGAAAAGGGAGAUCCAGUGGAAGACCCACUACUGCCCCCGCCAUAUGUUACCCUGACUCCACAAGCCCUGGCACAGCCAGCGCCAGACUCAUUGCCAGACAGUCCACCCCCGCCCCCCCCCCACCGUGUCCCCUGCACCACCUCAUGAGCAAGACUCCAGCCCCGAGCCAGUAGGGAAGUCGCUCUGCUCAGCUAAACAAUCUAACCAGCUCGCCACAGCCCAUCAGAUGCCACUGCAAGAAACUCAAGGUCCUCAACAAGUGAACAAGGACAGCUCAGUCCAGCCUGGUCGUUCCAUCCUCUAUUACCAGCCCUUCAGGACUACUGAUCUCCUAAACUGGAAACAGUGUAACCCAGUAUACUCUGAUAAACCAUAGCCUAUGACUAACCUCCUAGAGUCCACUUUCCACACCCAUCAGCCUACGUGGGACAUCUGUCACCAGCUCCUUAUGUCUCUCUUCACUGAGGAAAGGUGAUGCAUCUUGACAGAAGCCCCAAAAUGGCUCUGAGGACAAGCCCCACAGAGGUCUUAGAUGUGGAAGAAUGGGCACCAGAAGCGAUGCCAGAGACGAGACCUGGGCUUCACUGGGAUGAAUGCCACACAGCUCCUGGAGGUAGCAAAGUCUUCAUGAACUGAGACCAUGAAGCCCAACAAGAAACAGAUGAGAAGAUGAAACCGAAAGCGGCCCUGCUAGCAGCGGCACUGAGGAGCUCAGAUCCAGUGAGGCAGACCGUUCCCACAUGGAAAGGGGAAGCUGAGCAGAGACCACCACUAUGCUACGAUGAGUGGGCCCACUGCAAGGAGACCGGGCCCUGGAGAGAUGAGUGCCCCCACCGCAGAGGGACAUCUUAAGGGUCAAAGAGGUUCAGUCAACCCAACAAAGAAACCUCGCUGUCCAGAACCUCAUCGACCUGGCUGGAGCAGAAUCAGACCAGGGAAGACAGGGCUCCCUGAUCCUGGGCCCCUGGGAGCCCAUGGUCACGAUGAAAGUAGGGGGCCAAUCAACGACUUUUAUGGUGGAUACUGGAGCUGAACACUCCGUGGUAACCACAGCUGUGGCUCCCCUCACAGGCUGAACAGCAACCAUUGUUGGGGCCACGGGGGACAUGGCAGCCUGCUCACUUUGCAAGGCCUGUUCCUGUCAGCUGGGGAGCCAUCUGGUGACUUCUGAAUUUAGGUUCUUACCAGAAUGCCCCAUUACCUGCUGGGUAGAGACUUACUGACAAAACUGGGGGCACAAAUCGCCCUUGCCCCCAGAAAGCCUGUGAGCCUCACCCUGGGGAGCCAGUCAGCUCUGAUGAUGGCCGUGCCCAUGCCCAGGGAAGGUGAAUGGCUUAUCUAUUCCACAGGGAGGUAACAAAUAAAUCCCCCCAGCCUGCUAAUUAAUUCCCUGAUGUCUGGGCAGAGAAGGGACCCCCAGGUUCGGCCAAAAACCAUGCCCCCAUUGUCGUGGACCUGAGGCCAGGAGCCACUCCUGUUGGACAGAAACAAUAUCCAGUACCACGGGAGGCACACCUGGGAAUUCCGGACCACAUCUAGCACCUACAAGAUGCUGAGAUCCUAAUACCAGAUCCUAAUGCCAGUCUCCCUGGAACACUCCGCUCUUGCCAAUCAAAAAGUCUGGAGGGAGGUUGGAUGCAUGAGAAAAGUGCUCGGGGCUGGUGCACUGGGAUG